rnacentral:rRNA from 1 species
UACGAAGGGGGCUAGCGUUGUUCGGAAUUACUGGGCGUAAAGCGCGCGCAGGCGGUUUCUCAAGUCAGUGGUGAAAGCCCGGAGCUCAACUCCGGAACUGCCAUUGAAACUGUGAGACUUGAGGACGAGAGAGGUGAGUGGAAUUCCCAGUGUAGAGGUGAAAUUCGUAGAUAUUGGGAAGAACACCGGUGGCGAAGGCGGCUCACUGGCUCGUUUCUGACGCUCAGGCGCGACAGCGUGGGGAUCAAACGGG